UUACUUUCCAUUUGACCCUUCUAUCUUUCGUGAGUCACGUAUUCAUGAUAUGAUAGUACAGGCACUCGUUUGCCAUUAUUUUUCUCAACUCCAGAAGCUAGGAAACUUCAUGAGGAGGAAAUCCGAAAUCGUUGUCCCUCGGCGGUGUUGGACGGAUAUUUGAUCUAGACUUUGCAGAUUGCUAACGCUUACCAAUGGUUAGGACACUUCCUCAGACAAUCGACCUGUUGGGAUGGGACUUGGGGCUGCAUAUGAUUAUCAGAACUCUUUCAUUCCAAUAACUAUGACUUGUUUUCGUUCAUGCGACUCGCAUUGGGUUGAAAUUUCUGUCAUGGGAUAAUGACAUUGCCGUUUCUGAACUGCAGAAGAAUGCUGCUUCCAAACAAAUGAAAGUAAGACACAAGAAAUGGCUAUUUGACCUUUCCAAUUGGAUUUACACGGGGUUUUGGACUGAGGAGAAAAUGUAUGGAUCGGUUAAAGGAAUGGCAGAAGCUCCCUUACACUUCUCCACAUUGUGAUGACUCUCAUCUGGAUCCCCGUACAAAUGUAUCUGAAAAGAGGAUUGUUGGAGUAUUUCAUGACCUACUUCACCCUAAAUUGCAAAAGAGAACAAAAAAAUGUAAGCAACCUCCGAAAACGAUUCUCUAAGAAGCAUAACACGUAGACUGUAAUCCUUCGAGAAUCAUAUGAUGGGGAAAAGCUUGUGCAGAAAUAGUAUCAGGGAAAGAUUUACAAGCACAUGUUGAGGAAACGCCAAAGUAUAGAAGCAGAGGUUUUCACAAGAAAAUAUCCAUCUGAUCACCUUCAUCAUGAUGAAGUGGAUGCAACUCGAUAUAGUUCCGAAGAAGUGUCCGAUCAUAACUUGCUUUCAGAAUAUGAUUGGGAACCAGAUGGUCUGAUUGACAAAAACUGCUAAAGAAGUUGCCAUAAUUCUACAGCCGCUUCAGCAUUCAAAAAUUGGAUGAACAGAUUAGCCAAAUAUAGGGAGAGCCAACCUCUAAGUCUAGGUAUUCAUCAAUAUAGUUGAUCAAGCUUGUACGACUUGGCUGUUUUAGAUGAUACAAACAACUGAGACAGACAUUACAAGAUAAUCAAGUGAAUCAACACCAAAGGAAUGUAUUAGAAUUUUAUUCUAUGGUGGCAUGAACAAAAGGUAGAAUUGUACAUAUAUUACGUUGACGACAAUAAAAAUCGAGAUAUGUCCUCAUUUAUCGAUGUUCAGUUGUAUACAAAUUGUGAUAAGAAUAUGAAAAUUAUCAAUCGACCAGCUCACCUGUAGAACUCUCGGUAUGUCACUGGAAAUGUAAAAAAGCAUACAAAGAAUAAGCAAAAUGAACAUCGCAACGAACAGCUUUCAUAGAAAAGAAUGAACUGCAGCUAUUGCUCUUCACAAAAUCUGAAAUGUGAAGGACUUCCAAAGGCAACAAUAAGUUGGCCAUCCCAAUCUUCAACUCUCAAGUAAAUCUGGUACUACACUCUAAAAUGUGUAUCUUGAAUUUGGUUUAUUGGUAGCCACCACCAUAUGAUUGCUGGGGGGCAUAACCACCCAUCAUUGGAUUAUAACUACCCGAGGCAUUGGAUCCUGGCCGAAACACACCCGGUG